rnacentral:rRNA from 1 species
UACGAGGGGAGCAAGCGUUGUUCGGAUUUACUGGGCGUAAAGGGCGCGUAGGCGGCACUGCAAGUCAGUUGUGAAAUCUCCGGGCUUAACCCGGAAAGGUCAACUGAUACUGCAGGGCUAGAGUGCAGAAGGGGCAACUGGAAUUCUCGGUGUAGCGGUGAAAUGCGUAGAUAUUGGGAGGAACACCAGUGGCGAAGGCGGCUCACUGGACCGGUACUGACGCUGAUGCGCGAAAGCGUGGGGAGCAAACGGG